UCCCAGCACAAAUUUCAAGAGUGCCUGAGC
rnacentral:piRNA from 1 species